GGCAGCUGUCCUAACUGCUGGGAUUGGGAGAGCAUGAGCUUUUUCCUAUGUACCUGCCACAGGUGUCCAGUGCCCACAAGGAAUCAUGGCUGAGCAUUCUCCAGACAGCCCAGUCUGCCCACAUGUGAACCAGAGCAGAGCAGUGGACAUUCAUUUGGCGUGAAUGAAUAACCCUCUUAUAUGCUAAUUUAUACGCUUGAACAUUUAUAUGUGUUUGCUCGGAAGCUUACACAUCAGAAAUGAUUCAGCUCUCUACCUGCAGAAUCUUCUUCCUAUUUGUGAAACAUAUAACUUUGCCAUGUUAAUUUACUCUAAAUUUGGGGAAUUUUCUUCUUUUUUGUAGCUGUUGUUUCUGAAACGGAAAACUCAUCUCAGGAUGCCUUCCAACUUAGCAAACUGGGAGGAAAGGAUGAAAAAAAUCGUCAACUUCAAAAAAACUCAACAGGCUCCCAGGAUGGUCCUGUGAGCAUUCCCAGCAGCAGUGACAGCAGGGAGGACCCACUCCACAAAGCUCUAAAGAAGAAGAGCAUCAAGUCCUCCACUGGUCGUUUGUUUGGCAAAAAGGAAAAAGGGUCAGCCUGGACAAACUGGCAAAGAAUCACCAAGACAAGGUGGGCCGGUUUUUGGCAGCUGUCCUAACUGCUGGGAUUGGGAGAGCAUGAGCUUUUUCCUAUGUACCUGCCACAGGUGUCCAGUGCCCCCAAAGAAUCAUGGCUGAGCAUUCUCCAGACAGCCCAGUCUGCCCACAUGUGAACCAGAGCAGAGCAGUGGACAUUCAUUUGGCGUGAAUGAAUAACCCUCUUAUAUGCUAAUUUAUACGCUUGAACAUUUAUAUGUGUUUGCU
rnacentral:lncRNA from 1 species